UGCUCUAUUACGAAAUGCCAAAUGCAACUCUUGGGCGCCAAUCACCUCCAAAAACGCAUCGGCAACAAUCACCUCAAAAAACCCUAGGAGGUGAAAAACACCAUCGGGAAGGUCUCAUACAAACCCUAAAAGUCAGGUUCGCUUGCCAUCUGUUUUAUCUCCAUAGAGCUUUUUAUUGGGUAGAUUAUUUGAUCAGCGUGACUACUUAAGAGAGAACUAAUGUUAUGCUAAUCCACUGUUAUGCUAAUAGAUAGUAAAACUAGGUAGAGAAAUAUGAUCUUGAAAGAGGCUACAUGAAAUCUGAUCUGCUCUUUAAUUUGCUAGGUUUCAUCUGCUAGGGUUUUUGGGAGCUGCGAGCUGAGAGAGGAGAGGGCAACAUGCGACUAAGAGGGUUUAAUUUGCUAGGUUUCAUCUGCUAGGGUUUUUGGGAGCUGCGAGCUGAGAGAGGAGAGGGCAACAUGCAACCAAGAGGGUUUGUGGGGAGCUGUAACAUGAGAGAGGAGAGGCCAAAAUGCGAAUGGGAGGAGUGUUGGGGAGUUGGAGCUCAAUGAGGAGAGCAGAGCAUUGUUGUUGUUGUUGUUAUUAUUAUUAAUGUGAUAUCUUGGAAUGUUGUAGCAAUAAAACUCGAGAUAUCAUAUUGUAACACAUUAUGGUCCUAACCACCUAUGUUGUGUACAUAUUUCUUAGUGGAGCUCGGGUUCAUCACAAAAGGCAAUCGUGUACUCUCAUGCAUUGUGGUUAAUUUAGAAAGCCAAUUGUAUGCAAG
rnacentral:lncRNA from 1 species